CCUACGGGAGGCUGCAGUGAGGAAUAUUGGUCAAUGGCCGGAAGGCUGAACCAGCCAUGCCGCGUGAAGGUCAGUGCCCUAUGGGCGUUAAACUUCUUUUGUGCGGGAGCAAUAAUGGUCACGUGUGGCCAGACGAGAGUACCGUACGAAUAAGCAUCGGCUAACUCCGUGCCAGCAGCCGCGGUAAUACGGGGGAUGCAAGCGUUAUCCUGAUUUAUUGGGUUUAAAGGGUGCGUAGGCUGUGAGGUAAGUCAGCGGUGAAAUGCCCCCGCUAAACGGGGUGGAGUGCCAUUGAUACUGGCUUGGUGGAAAGCGGAGGGCGUGGGAGGAAUGGGUGGUGUAGCGGUG
rnacentral:rRNA from 1 species